rnacentral:rRNA from 1 species
AGAGUUUGAUCCUGGCUCAGGAUGAACGCUAGCUACAGGCUUAACACAUGCAAGUCGAGGGGAAACGACAUCGAAAGCUUGCUUUUGAUGGGCGUCGACCGGCGCACGGGUGAGUAACGCGUAUCCAACCUGCCCAUCACUUGGGGAUAACCUUGCGAAAGUAAGACUAAUACCCAAUGACGUCUCUAGAAGGCAUCUGAAAGAGAUUAAAGAUUUAUCGGUGAUGGAUGGGGAUGCGUCUGAUUAGCUUGUUGGCGGGGUAACGGCCACCAAAGCAACGAUCAGUAGGGGUUCUGAGAGGAAGGUCCCCCACAUUGGAACUGAGACACGGUCCAAACUCCUACGGGCA